rnacentral:rRNA from 1 species
CAUGCAAGUCGAGCGGAAAGGCCUUUCGGGGNUACUCGUAGCGGCGAACGGGAUGAGUAACACGUGAGUAACCUGCCCCUGACUCUGGGAUAAGCCUGGGAAACUGGGUCUAAUACCGGAUACGACCAUUUCUCGCAUGGGAUGGUGGUGGAAAGUUUUUUCGGUUGGGGAUGGGCUCGCGGCCUAUCAGCUUGUUGGUGGGGUGAUGGCCUACCAAGGCGACGACGGGUAGCCGGCCUGAGAGGGCGACCGGCCACACUGGGACUGAGACACGGCCCAGACUCCUACGGGAGGCAGCAGUGGGGAAUAUUGCGCAAUGGGCGGAAGCCUGACGCAGCGACGCCGCGUGGGGGAUGACGGCCUUCGGGUUGUAAACCUCUUUCAGCAGGGACGAAGUUGACGUGUACCUGUAGAAGAAGCGCCGGCUAACUACGUGCCAGCAGCCGCGGUAAUACGUAGGGCGCGAGCGUUGUCCGGAAUUAUUGGGCGUAAAGAGCUCGUAGGUGGCUUGUCGCGUCUGCCGUGAAAGCCCGUGGCUUAACUACGGGUCUGCGGUGGAUACGGGCAGGCUAGAGGCUGGUAGGGGCAAGCGGAAUUCCUGGUGUAGCGGUGAAAUGCGCAGAUAUCAGGAGGAACACCGGUGGCGAAGGCGGCUUGCUGGGCCAGUUCUGACGCUGAGGACCGAAAGCGUGGGGAGCGAACAGGAUUAGAUACCCUGGUAUCCACCUGUAAACGUUGGGCCUAGUGUGGGGGUCUUCCACGACUUCUGUGCCCGUAGCUAACGCAUUAAGCGCCCCGUCCUGGGGAGUACGGCCGGCNAAGGCUAAAUCUCAAACGAA